ensembl:misc_RNA Metazoa_SRP Metazoan signal recognition particle RNA
GCUGGGUGUGGUGGUGCACACCUGUAGUCCCAGCUACUUGGGAGGCUGAGGCAGGAGAAUCAAUUGAACUCAGGAGGUGGAGGUUGCAGUGAGCAGAGAUCACACUACUGCACUCUAGGCUGGGUGACAGAGGGAGACUCUGUCUUUAAAAAAAAAAAAUUAACCAGCUUUGUUGGUGUGUGCCUGUAGUCCCAGCUACUCACAGGCUGAUGUGGGAGGAUUGCCUGAGCCCAGGAGGUCAAGUCUGCAGUGAGUCAUGAUUGCGCCACUGCACUCCAGCCUGGGUGACCGAGUGAGACCCUGUCUCAA